rnacentral:rRNA from 1 species
GAGAAAGUAAGCAAGGGCAGACGGUGGAUGCCUUGGCUCUCGGAGGCGACGAAGGACGUGAUAAGCUGCGAAAAGCCCGGGGGAGGCGCAAAUAGCCGUUGAUCCCGGGAUAUCCGAAUGGGGCAACCCGGCAGGCUGAAGGCCUGUCAUCCCGAAAGGGAGGCGAACGUGGGGAACUGAAACAUCUAAGUACCCAUAGGAGGAGAAAAUAAACAAUGAUUCCGUAAGUAGUGGCGAGCGAACACGGAAGAGCCCAAACCCAUGUCGUCUAGGCGACACGGGGGUUGUAGGACCACGACGUGGCAAGAUAGAGUCAAGUGGAACGCCUUGGAAAAGGCGGUCAUAGAGGGUGAAAACCCCGUACACGACUGACGAUUGAAGCCUAGUGGCAUCCUGAGUAGCGCGGGGCACGAGAAAUCUUGCGUGAAUUAGCGGGGCCCAUCCCGUAAGGCUAAAUACUCCCGAGAGACCGAUAGCGAACCAGUACCGUGAGGGAAAGGUGAAAAGAACCCCGAGCAGGGGAGUGAAAUAGACCCUGAACCCGUCUGCCUACAAGCGGUCGGAGCGUCGUAAUGACGUGACGGCGUGCCUUUUGCAUAAUGAACCUACGAGUUACCUUCCCCGGCAAGGUUAAGUUCUUGAGGAACGGAGCCGAAGCGAAAGCGAGUCUGAACAGGGCGCCAAGUCGGGGGGGGGUAGACGCGAAACCGAGUGAUCUACCCUUGGCCAGGUUGAAGGUUGGGUAACACCAACUGGAGGACCGGAUGGGUAAGCGUUGAAAAGCUUUCCAAUGAGCUGAGGGUAGGGGUGAAAGGCUAAUCAAACUCGGAGAUAGCUCGUACUCCCCGAAAUGCAUUUAGGUGCAGCCUCUUUAUAGUAUAUCGUGAGGUAGAGCGACUGAUUGGAUGCGAGGGCUUCACCGCCUAUCAAGUCCAGAUAAACUCCGAAUGCGCGAUAUAUAUUUACAGGGAGUGAGGGCGCGGGUGCUAAGGUCCGUGUCCGAGAGGAGAAGAAUCCAGACCACCGGCUAAGGCCCCCAAAUGAUCGUUAAGUUGAACUAACGAGGUCGGAUCGCAGAGACAGCUAGGAUGUUGGCUUGGAAGCAGCCAUUCAUUUAAAGAGUGCGUAACAGCUCACUAGUCGAGCGAUCUGGCGUGGAUAAUAAUCGGGCAUAAACGAUCUGCCGAAGCCGUGGAUGUCGCAAGACAUGGUAGGGGAGCAUUCCAUGCCGCGUCGAAGAUAAGGGAUGACCCUUGUUGGAGCGCAUGGAAAAGCAAAUGUAGGUAUGAGUAACGAUAAGGGGGGCGAGAAACCCCCCCCGCCGAAAGACCAAGGUUUCCUGAUCAACGCUAAUCGGAUCAGGGUGAGUCGGGACCUAAGGCAAAGCCGAACGGCGCCGCCGAUGGAAGAAUGGGUUAAUAUUCCCAUACUGCCUCAUGGAGUGACGUGGAGACGGAGAAGUGACAGUCCUGCCGGCUGACGGAAUAGCCGGUUGAAGGGUGUAGAUAUUGAUUCCCGUAGGCAAAUCCGCGGGGAGAGUCGAACCUGAGAGUAUACGGAGCGCUUGCGCAACGUAAUAUGGACGUAACCAUGCUCCCGAGAAAAUCCGCUAAACUUAUCCAUGCGGCACCCGUACCGUAAACGGACACACGUGGUCGGGUUGAGAAUACUGAGGCGCUCGAGUGAUUCACGGUUAAGGAACUAGGCAAAUUGACCCUGUAACUUCGGGAUAAAGGGUCCUCGUCGUAAGGCGAGGCGCAGAGAAUAGGUCCAGGCAACUGUUUAACAAAAACACAUGGCUGUGCUAAAUGGAAACAUGAUGUAUACAGCCUGACACCUGCCCGGUGCCGGAAGGUUAAGAGGAGAUGUCAUCCGCGAGGAGAAGCGUUGAAUUGAAGCCCCGGUAAACGGCGGCCGUAACUAUAACGGUCCUAAGGUAGCGAAAUUCCUUGUCGGGUAAGUUCCGACCUGCACGAAUGGUGUAAUGAUCUGGACACUGUCUCAACCGUGAGCUCGGUGAAAUUGUAGUAUCGGUGAAGAUGCCGAUUACCCGCGAUGGGACGAAAAGACCCCGUGAACCUUUACUAUAGCUUUACAUUGAGUUUGGGCAGACGAUGUGUAGGAUAGGCCGGAGGCAUUGAAGCAGGUACGCCAGUAUUUGUGGAGCCGACGUUGAAAUACGGCCCUUCGGUUGUUUGAGUUCUAACUCCUAGUUAGGAGGACACUGUAUGGUGGGUAGUUUGACUGGGGUGGUCGCCUCCAAAAGCGUAACGGAGGCUUCUAAAGGUGCCCUCAGACCGAUUGGUAACCGGUCGCAGAGUGUAAUGGCAUAAGGGCGCUUGACUGGGAGACAUACAAGUCGAUCAGGUAGGAAACUAGAGCAUAGUGAUCCGGUGGUUCCGCAUGGAAGGGCCAUCGCUCAAAGGAUAAAAGGUACUCCGGGGAUAACAGGCUGAUCAUUCCCAAGAGCUCAUAUCGACGGAAUGGUUUGGCACCUCGAUGUCGGCUCGUCACAUCCUGGGGCUGGAGAAGGUCCCAAGGGUUGGGCUGUUCGCCCAUUAAAGUGGCACGCGAGCUGGGUUCAGAACGUCGUGAGACAGUUCGGUCUCUAUCUAUCGUGGGCGCAGGAGAUUUGCGAGGCUCUGACACUAGUACGAGAGGACCGUGUCGGACGUACCACUGGUUUACCGGUUGUCCCGCCAGGGGCACCGCCGGGUAUCUAAGUACGGAUCGGAUAAGUGCUGAAAGCAUCUAAGUACGAAGCCGGCCUCAAGAUUAGAUCUCCCUCAAGGGUGGUUAUAGACGAUGACCUUGAUAGGCCACAGGUGUAAGGGCGGCGACGUCCGAGCCGAGUGGUACUAAUAGCCCGGGACUUUCCUCA